CCUUGUACACACCGCCCGUCACGCCAUGGGAGUCUAUUGCACCAGAAGCCGGUAGCUUAACCGAAAGGGGGCGCCGUCCACGGUGUGGUCGAUGACUGGGGUG
rnacentral:rRNA from 1 species